AACGUAGGACGCAAGCGUUAUCCGGAAUUACUGGGCGUAAAGCGCGUGUAGGCGGAUGAUUAAGUUACCGGUGAAAGCGCCGGGCUAAACUCGGCGAGGUUCGGUGAUACUGGUCGUCUGGAGGGUGUCAGAGGGAAGCGGAAUUCCGGGUGUAGUGGUGAAAUGCGUAGAGAUCCGGAGGAACACCAGAGGCGAAGGCGGCUUCCUGGGACAUACCUGACGCUGAGACGCGAAAGCAUGGGGAGCGAACGGG
rnacentral:rRNA from 1 species